rnacentral:rRNA from 1 species
UGGGGAAUUUUGGACAAUGGGCGAAAGCCUGAUCCAGCAAUGCCGCGUGUGUGAAGAAGGCCUUCGGGUUGUAAAGCACUUUUGUCCGGAAAGAAAUCCUUGGCUCUAAUACAGUCGGGGGAUGACGGUACCGGAAGAAUAAGCACCGGCUAACUACGUGCCAGCAGCCGCGGUAAUACGUAGGGUGCAAGCGUUAAUCGGAAUUACUGGGCGUAAAGCGUGCGCAGGCGGUUUGCUAAGACCGAUGUGAAAUCCCCGGGCUCAACCUGGGAACUGCAUUGGUGACUGGCAGGCUAGAGUAUGGCAGAGGGGGGUAGAAUUCCACGUGUAGCAGUGAAAUGCGUAGAGAUGUGGAGGAAUACCGAUGGUGAAGGCAGCCCCCUGGGCCAAUACUGACGCUCAUGCACGAAAGCGUGGGGGAGCAAAACAGGAUUAGAUACCCUGGUAGUCCACGCCCUAAAACGAUGUCAACUAGUUGUUGGGGAUUCAUUUCCUUAGUAACGUAGCUAACGCGUGAAGUUGACCGCCUGGGGAGUACGGUCGCAAGAUUAAAACUCAAAGGAAUUGACGGGGUCAUAGCUGUUUCCU